CCCAACUAUCCCUAUUAAUCAUUACGUCAAUCCUAGAAACCAACAAAAUAGGAUCGAUCGUCCUAUUUCAUUAUUCCAUGCUAAUGUAUUCAAGCGUUAGCCUGCUUUAAACACUCUAAUUUUUUCAAAGUAACAGUCCAGUUUCCCCGCAACACCAAAUUAAUGGCAUUACGGUUCAUCAGGAAGGAGGAAUCASUAAGACCAGUACAUACCAGUGGCACGACCAGCCUACUAACCCCGAAAUUCAACUA
rnacentral:rRNA from 1 species